GACGAACGCUGGCGGCGUGCUUAACACAUGCAAGUCGAACGAGAUCCAAUCAGUAGCAAUACUGAUGAAGAUCUAGUGGCGAACGGGUGCGUAACACGUGAGGAACUUGUCCCGGUCUCUGGGAUAACAGUUGGAAACGACUGCUAAUACCGGAUGACGUCGGAACUUCGCAUGGAGUACUGACGAAAGGGUUACUGGAUCGGGAGAGCCUCGCGGCCUAUCAGCUUGUUGGGUGGGGUAACGGACCGUACCAACGGACAUCGACGGGUAGGCUGGUCGUGAGAGGAGUGAUCAGCCACACUGGGACGUGAGACACGGCCCACGACUCCUACGGGAGGCAGCAGUGGGGAAGUCUUGUCACAAUAGGGCGAAAGCCUGAUGCAGCAACGCGCG
rnacentral:rRNA from 1 species